rnacentral:rRNA from 1 species
CUAGCAAUAAUAUUUUUCAAUGGUCGCCAACGUCCGAUCACCGUUGUUAAACAACGUCGGGCGCGGUCAGUACUUGGUUGGGUGACCGCCUGGGAACACAACGUGCCGUUGGCU